rnacentral:rRNA from 1 species
CGAGACUGCAGUCGAACGCUUUUUCUUUCACCGGAGCUUGCUCCACCGAAAGAAAAAGAGUGGCGAACGGGUGAGUAACACGUGGGUAACCUGCCCAUCAGAAGGGGAUAACACUUGGAAACAGGUGCUAAUACCGUAUAACACUAUUUUCCGCAUGGAAGAAAGUUGAAAGGCGCUUUUGCGUCACUGAUGGAUGGACCCGCGGUGCAUUAGCUAGUUGGUGAGGUAACGGCUCACCAAGGCAACGAUGCAUAGCCGACCUGAGAGGGUGAUCGGCCACACUGGGACUGAGACACGGCCCAGACUCCUACGGGAGGCAGCAGUAGGGAAUCUUCGGCAAUGGACGAAAGUCUGACCGAGCAACGCCGCGUGAGUGAAGAAGGUUUUCGGAUCGUAAAACUCUGUUGUUAGAGAAGAACAAGGAUGAGAGUAAAAUGUUCAUCCCUUGACGGUAUCUAACCAGAAAGCCACGGCUAACUACGUGCCAGCAGCCGCGGUAAUACGUAGGUGGCAAGCGUUGUCCGGAUUUAUUGGGCGUAAAGCGAGCGCAGGCGGUUUCUUAAGUCUGAUGUGAAAGCCCCCGGCUCAACCGGGGAGGGUCAUUGGAAACUGGUGAGACUUGAGUGCAGAAGAGGAGAGUGGAAUUCCAUGUGUAGCGGGUGAAAUGCGUAGAUAUAUGGAGAGAACCCACCAUGGCGAAAGCGGCUUUCUGGUCCGUUACUGAAGGUGAGGCUUCAAAGCGUGGGGAGCGAACCGGAUUUGAUUCCCCGGUUAUCCACGGCGGUAACCGAGGAUUCUUAGUUUUGAGGGUUUUCCGCCCUCCGGUGUGCAGGCAACGCCAUUAGCCAUUCGCCUGGGGAAUUCGGCCGCAAGGUUGAAAAUCAAAGGAAUUGGCGGGGGCCCGCCCCAGCGGUGGAGCCAGUGGUUUAAUUUGAAGCAACGGGAAGGACCUUUCCCAGUUCUGACCUCCUUUGGCCCCUUUUGGGAUUGAAGUUUCCCUUUGGGGGCAAAAGGGCCGGUGGGGCCAGGUUGUUGUCAAGUUGGGUUGGGAGAAGGUGGGUUAAGUUCCGCAACGAACGCCACCCUUUUUGUUUAUUGCCCUCCAUUAAUUGGGCCCUUUAACGGGGCUUCCGGUGGCCAACCGGAGGAAGGGGGGGAAGGCGUCAAAUCCUCCUGCCCCUUAAGGCCUGGGGUUCCCCCGUGGUUCCAAGGGAAGUUCAACGAAUUGGGAAGUUGGGAGGGUUAAGUUAUUUUUUAAAACUUUUUUCCAUUUGGAUUGUUGGGUGCAACUUGCCUUCCAGAAACCGGAAUCGGUUGUUAUUGGGGGUCAACCCGCCGCGGGGAAUUCGUUUCCGGGCCUUGUUCCCCCCCCCCGUCCACCACCCAAGGAGGAAUUUGUAACCAACCUCG